GAGUGCAGGACUUUCCAACUGUUGUUGAAAACCCUUAUGGCAUAACUAGUGCGUACGGAAGUACACAUAAGUGGACUAAACGCAGUAUAUUUUGGGAUCUACUAUAUUGGAAAGCCCAUCUUAUUCAUCAUAAUCUUGACGUCAUGCACAUUGAAAAGAAUGUUUUCGACAAUGUCAUAAAUACUGUGAUGGAUGUCACAGGAAAAACAAAAGACAACUUGAAUGCAAGAAAAGAUAUGAGAGAUAUUUGUGAUCGGCCAACAUUAGAUGUGGAUGCAAGCAAGCAGGGGAUCAAAACCAAAAGCAGUUUAUACAUUGGAUAAGGAGCAGAGACGAGUCGUUUGUCAAUGGUUGAAAUCUGUACGGUUUCCUGAUGGAUAUGCUUCGAACAUCGGGAGAUGUGUUGAUUUGAACGAAUGCAAGUUGACAGGAUUAAAGAGUCAUGAUUGUCACAUAUUUAUGGAAAGACUAAUUCCAAUAGCUUUCAAGGAACUUCUACCAAACUUUGUAUGGGGCGCCAUUACAGAGUUAAGUAAUUUCCUUCAUGAUAUUUGCUCAACAGUGUUAAAAGCAUCACACAUGGAGAAACUGGAGAGAGACAUUCCAAUUAUUCUUUGCAACUUAGAAAUGAUAUUUCCUCCAUCGUUUUUUGAUUUAAUGGAGCAUCUCUUAGUUCACUUGCCUUAUGAGGCCAAAGUUGCAGGUCCCGUCCAAUUUCGAUGGAUGUAUCCAUUUGAGAGGUGAAAAUUUUUUCAAAAUAAAUUUCAAAAUACUUUAUUAUAUAUUAUGUUCUGAUAAACUUCUUUCUAUUGCAACAAGGUUCUUAUAUUAUUUGAAGAAAAAAGUGAAGAACAAGGCAUGUGUUGAAGCUUCAAUUUGUAAUGCAUAUAUUGUGGAAAAAGUGACAACAUUUGCAUCAUACUAUUUUGAGCCGCACGUGCAGUGCAAGAGGCGGAGAGCAGGAAGAAAUGAUGAGGGUCACAUCGAUCCCAAUUGCAAAUCAUUCUCUAUUUUCAAUUAUCUCGGUCGACCAAGCGGCGCAUGUAAGUUUCGUUGCUUAACAGGCGAAGAACGGCAGACAGCCUAUACAUAUAUUUUACUAAACUGUCCAGAAGUGGAGCCAUACUUCGAGAUUUUUCAAAAUUCAAUGUAUGGACUACUACCAAAUGAGUUUGACCGUUUGUGCGAUGAACAAUUUGCAGCAUGGUUCAAAACAUAUGUUCACAGUAAUCAUGAUCAAGUUGAAGAGCAAAGAUUGUUAUAUUAUCUAUCAUGGGGUCCAUAGUCAAGCAUACGAACUUGGCCAGCAUAUUUCAUAAACGGGUAUAAUUUUCACACUCAAGAAUAUGGAAUGGGAAAAGCCACAAUGAAUAGUGGUAUGUGUGUUCGGUCAUCCAAUUGUGGUAGUUCAAAAGAUGAUUUUUAUGGCUUGUUGGAUGAAAUCAUCGAGAUAGAGUACCCCGGACCAUUAAUGCGGGUUGUGUUAUUUAAGUGCAUGUGGUUCAACCCCGUCAAAGGAAUGAAGGUGCAUACGAAGUUUAAUUUGGUUGAAAUAAAUCACAAGAAAAGGUAUAUGAAAUAUGAGCCAUUUGUGUUGGCACAAUAAGCAAUUCAAGUAUAUUAUGCAUCAUAUCCUAAUUUGAAACGUGACAAAGCUGAUUGGUGGGCUGUAUGUAAAAUCAAAGCACGAAGAAAAAUCGAGGAACACUGGAAGGAUACAGCAUAUUAACAAGAGGAAGUUUGUAACGCGGUUCAAACUGAGGAAUAUAACAUUCUUACUCUACGAGAUCCAUGUGGAGCAAUGAUAGAUGUAGAUCUAACUGAAAUUCGCGAAUCAAAUUUAGAAGGUGUUGCGGAAUCUGAUUUUGAGACAGAGGAUGAUGAGGAUGAUGAUGAUGAUGAUGAUGAUGAUGAUGAUGACGACGACGACGAUGAUGCUCAAGAAGAAGAUCAAGAUCAAG